CCAGACUAAUUUUAGAGACGAGGGUCUCUCUCAAAGUCCUGUGAAGUCUAUUCUGAAGAAGAGCGUGACAAUGCAGCCUGCCCCGUCUGCAGUUUACCAUUACAGUGACACCAUCGCAGAAAUCCCGCCCCACAAUAAAGUUAACGCCAUUUUUCAAGCUGCCAAAAAGGACCUGCUGCAGGUCAUCCAACUGCAGGACCCCAGCCUGCUGGAAGGAAGAGUGACUCUGCGACAGGUCAAAGCAGGAACUGUGGUGGCUCAACAAGGAGACCAGGUGAGA